GUGGAGUCCUUGCGGGUUUCCCGAUGUUAGUCCAUUUCUUGCAGCUUGGUGAGGAAAAGGCCCCCAUCAGUCCCCUGAAUCAUUGCUGUUUUCAAAGCUGAGCAUGAAGGUUCUUUUGGCAGCAUAGAGUCUUAUUUCAUCCAUAAUUCCAGAGUCUGUUUUAUUUAUGCUUUCUGUAUCUUCUCUCUACAGGAGGGGACUUGGAGUCCUCUUCUCUGGGAUCUAAGACUUCCCAUCUUUCCUAUGUGAGCCCAGAGAACUAACAUAUUCACGAAGACAUUUUCAGAGAAUCAUCGGUGGGCAUGUCUCCCAUUACACAGAAGGAAGAUGCCAACGUCACUUAAACUUGUUGGAACAAUUUGUUCUCCCUCUGAGGAACAGUGGAAUUCUGUGGGCUGGAGAAAUUCAGGCAGCUGGCAGUUGAACUUUAAGUACCACUGUAGCAGACACCAGCCUUCCCUCUCAGUCUCACUGGCCUUGAAGUGAUGAUAAUGACACAUUCGGAGCAGCUGGAGAUUUCUGUGGAGCCAGACUGCAGAGGUGACCAUAAGGAAGAGAGUGCAGAUGAAACAGGAAAAGCAGAUGCCAGAGAGGCUGAGGAUGGGUGAGCAAAGUGCAGUAACGCAGAGCACAUGGCAAAUACAGCGUGUAUGGUGGCAAUAUUCACUAGACUGUUACCAGAGAAGUCUCAGCAGUGUGAGAAACUUCAAAAUCCUGCUGCACUGAGUGGGCUCUUUUUAUUCCAGGUAAGAAUAGUCUGAUUUCUUAAAGAUGUCAUGCUGGCUGGCCGUUUAUGCAUGAUGUGAUUGCUUGGAUUGAGUCCACCAUAAAUAAGCUCCAUGCUAACAACUCCUUGGCUAUUUAUUGAUUGGAUGUAAAUCACAUCCAAUCCCUACCCACUGUUCACUCUGACAGGAGUUUUUAGAGUACCACGGGCAUCCUCUUAGGAAGGGAGGGUGAUGAAAGCUCAGCAAACAUCACCCUGAUUAUAAGCCAUC
rnacentral:lncRNA from 1 species